rnacentral:snoRNA from 1 species
CGUCCUGUUUUAGUACCAUGCUUCUGCCUCCUACAGAUGUGUGGCUAUGCUAACAGGACAAAGAAACUAUCCUUCGGUGUCUGAAGGAGUUUAGGAGCUACUUUUCUCAAACUCCUAAUGAAACGAUGGCACAAACCCCG